GUGUGAAGAGGCUGACAGCGGCGUGGCCACCACCCAGGAUGGAGAGAAAGGCACUGUGAGGUGUUAAUGGAAAAAUCCAACUUCCUUUUCUUCCAAAGAUGAUGACUGAAACCAAAGUGGAGCUUUCCCUUGUGAAGUGAAAGCAAAGUUUUAAAAUUUUUUCUCCUCUGCAAGAAAAUAUAUUUCAGAAAAUCUCUAUCUCAAAAAUGAAGCAAUUAAGAACUGUCUGGCUGUGAGGAUCUGGCCUCAACUUGACUUAAAGCAACAACUUCAGAAACUUUCUGAGAUGCAAGUGGGUGUUAAAUGGUUCAGCAAAGCCAAGCCAGAGCAGUUGGUGUGCUUUGAAAUGAAGCAACAUUGGAAAAAUGAAAUCUACUGAAAGAUCACUACGUGUUUCAAAGGCCUUCAGACUCAGACUGGAACUGCACCGUUGGCUCUCCUGGGUGGGUCUCCAGCUUGCUGACCACAGACCUUGAGACUUCUCAGCCUUUAGAAUCAUGGAAGCCAAUUCCUUAUAAUAAUAUAUAUCCUUUUCCUAGUCUGUGGACUUUUCCCAGCUCCAGACAGACAACCUUCUAUAAACUCCAGGAUGCUCCAUCAAUGCCGUCUGGACUCUACAGAUUUUGACCCUGAAGUAAAGUAGGAAAGGCUAUGAGGACAUGUUAAAUGUUGUACUACCGCCUGAAGCCUUUUCUUCUUUAAAUUUUUCAACAAGAGUUGAAUGCACACGUGGAGCUUAAUUGGACAACAACUUUUCUCCUCUUCUGUGGGAUCCCGUCAGUGCUUUAAGCAAUGAGAAGGCAGCUCAUUUCCAAGUUUGUGUGGUAAAUUUGGGGCAAGUGGGAGAAAAGAAAGAAAGGCUGAGUCUUAUAGGGUGUGAUUUGGUUCUAGACAUGCUUAUGUUACUUUUUAUAAGAUUAUCCAUUUGACUAGAUUUCUUUCCUGCUGACAAAAGAGGCAAUUUCUACAUAUAAAAUAAAUCUGAUUAAAACUCUUUCUCUGUUCCUGUCAAGGUAAUAGAUGCAGACCCCAGGAACAGAAUAUAUUUGGAUUCCUAGUGUGUGCAAAUGAUUGUUUAUGUGAUAUCUGGUGCCAAGACCCACAGACGGCUCCUGUACUGCCCUGUAAAAAUAACGGGAAUGGAAAGCUUUUCCUUAGGCAUAAAAAGUUAAUUUUAUUUCUUAUUCUCUUUCACAGCGGUAACUAUUACUUUGUAAUUUUCCUGGUAUUUUGUUGGCAGCCAAAAAUAACACAAGUAAUAGUCCUUGCCUACAAUAUGCAGCUCCGAUUCAUUUUGCUUAGCUCAAGUUGCCUCCUAUAAUAAAGGUGGUGGCACUAGACCUUAAGCAUAGGUCUAAACUAGAGCAAAUUUCUUAAGCCCGUUUUUAAUCAGAAAGGCAGAACAAGUUCAAAUCCUUUCCAUUCCUUUAUCCUAGUAGGGUUUUUAGAACACACCAAAUAGCAAGAAAUGAAUGCAGCUUUAGUAAUUAACAUUGAUAACUCUUCUCAGCCUCCAACUGAGUGAACAGCCUCUUUCAGGCCAGUCAAGAACCAUUCUGUAUAAUCCUAUCUGCAUGUUAUCUUGACAGUGGGAGAUAGUGAGUCAUAGACAAAGGCCAAGGUGUUGGGCCUGAGCUAACCAAGUGCGUUGAGAAUGGAGGCAGUCUCCCAGGAUCUGGGACAGGUGUGAGGAGCCACCAGGAGCCAGGGACCAUUAAGUGGAUGGGUUAGUCAAAGCAUUACUUCAUAAAUCCAGGCGGCCACAGAGGUCUGCGUAUUUACAGACACCACUUGUCAAGAGAAGUGGCAGCCUUGAAACCAGAAGGCACAAACACUGAAAAAUCAGGUGGUUCAGGCUGCUAAUGGUCCUAUUAGGCAGUCACGCAUCAGAGGACCCAUGGUAGACAACAGAGCACCACAAAGGCCCCAUGUGGGGCAUGGCUUCUAUGCUAGAAUCCACCUCUAUGCAGACAAAGGACUAUCAUGUGCUUCUUCUCUUAAACAAAGAAAUCCAUGUGUGGCUUGUCCAGGGCAUUCAGAUGCAAACAAGCAACUUAGACCACCAAAAAGGGAUAUGGCAUUGGCCAGGGAUAUGCAUUCCUGAAAAUGUAAAACAUUACUUUGUGCCUCCUUUACUUAAAGCAGUUAGUGAGUAACUAAGUUACGGAGAAGCUUAGAAACUAAAACACUCUGGCUUGCUUUGAAUGUGGCCAUUUUUACAGGUAAGAAAGCUGGGACCCAGAAAAAUGCACUGAUUUACCCAAGGAAGCAGAGCUGGGAACAGAAUACGAGGCUUCUAAUCUACUGAUCAUUUCACUGUGUCACACUAUUUAAGAUGUAGAAACAGCUGAAUUCAUCUUGUCAACUCAGAAUCCUUUAGUAUCUGUGUCCAGAGGAGGAUUUGCCUCCACUCUAAGGGCUUUGGGUUUGUCUGGGAAGGGCUUAUUUUUCACUUGCUUUCUUAGGUAGGAAAUCAGGGUGGGAGAUCUCAGUCAGCAUCAGUGCCUUCCUUCCUGUGGAUCUGGAUGUCUUUUAAUGCACUCAUGAGCCUAGUGUGAAGCCUGGCCACAGAGAUCCUGAGAAUUGUACUCAAGAGAGUUUGAGCUUCAGAUGUCAUGGGUGCUCCCUGUUCUAGAGAUAAUGGUGUAAAGUGACACAGACACAGCAUGUGCUGGCUGGAGGACAGAUAAAAAUAACAAAUAGUCUUAAUUGAGUACAGUGAUUCAAUUUUGCAAGACAGGCAGCAGCUAAAGAGAUCUAUUGGCACUUUAUAGGUAAUGUUGAGCGAUAAAAUAAUAGUGAUGAUUAUGCAGAGGACGAAGAGUAGCAAAAAUUGCAGUCUCUGUGUCUUGCACAGUACUUAGCCCAUAAUUAAUAUAAAUUAUGUAUCUUAGCCGACAGUACUUAGAUGCAUAAUUAAUAUUACGGAAUCGGAUAAACUGAACUGAUGACUAUGACCCAUAAUCCAUAAUCAUGACCCAUGACCAUGACAGGGAUGGUGCAAGAUUAGUGUGAAUUCUGUUUCAGUAGGUGAGGACUAGCACAGACUGGAGAUAAAACUGUGGUUUGGCAUUCUUCCAUUUUUACCUUGCUCAUUUUUUAAGGCAGGCAGUUUGUACCUCAUUGAUUUUCACUGCUCAUCAAGUCCUAUUAGCCUAUUCAUUAGUGAUGGCUUCAUUCCCUUCCCACAGUCUGUCUCCUGAAUGACACUUCCUUGUGUUAAGGCUGUGCUUAGCCCUAGCCAUGAUUGCUGGGUAUCGACAGAAUGUGGCAUGACCAGCAGGGCCUGCUGGCUGGCAAGUAGCACCCUUCUCCAACAACACAUUGGUACCCACAGAAAGAAGGUGGCAAUUUCCAUUACAAGGAAGAUCAGGUUGUCAACUGAUAUUAUAGUUCCAGUCUCUCUCUCUCUCUUUCUGUCUGCCACCCACACACCUUCACACUCACUUGUCUAAAUAUAAAUAUGAACACAUUAUCAUAACCCCAAGCCUGUUCUUGCAGCUAAAUUUAUUUUCUCACUGGAACCACAGUUCACUUGUCAGCCAAACUAGAGGCCCAGAGUCAUCUCUCUUUGUUUUGCUCUUCCCCACAUCUGAUCAGGCACCAAGCUCCAACCAUGCUUCCUUAGACACCACUCUUGAGACCUCCCCUUCUCUGUUUUUCCACUUCUAUUGCUCUAGUAUAGUUACUAUAUUAUACUGUCAUCUUUCACCUGGACUUAAAGACUCCAGAUAGUUCCAUCUUUCUAAUUCCUCUUCCCCAGUGCAAAGUGAGGAUGCAGAGUACCUGUGGAAAGGCUAAGGGAAGACAGACUCCAGGCAUGAGAGAGAGGAAUACCAGCAAAUAUGUAUUGAACACUUAAUGUGCCAGGGCAUUGAUUUACUAAUAUUUACAUUUGUUUUUACUUAAUUCUCACAAAAACCUGAAUGUACAUACUAUAAUUAUCUCCAUUUUAUGGAUAAGAGACUCAAGGCUAAGAAAUUUUAAGUGAUGUAUAAGAUCGUAUAUAAGGAAGUGGCAGAGCUGGACUCAAACCAGGGGUCCAGUUUGUCUAACUCUUAGGUCCGUGUCAUUGUCAUCACCACAUUCUACCUUUCUAGUUGCUCUAUACUAGAGGUUAUCACCUAAGGGGUUUGUUAAAACUGUGUUUUAACAAACACAGAUUACUGGACACAACCCCCCAGAGUUUCUGAUUCAAGUCUGGGAUGAGGCCUGAGAAUCUGAGAAGUUGCAUGUUUAUCAAAGUCCCAAGAGAUGAUGAUGCUGCUGAACCAGUGACCACACAUGAAAGCCUUCGCCCCAGCCUUUGGCAUUUAUUUUUGGCACUUUCUCCUCAGGCACAGCACAAGUGGUUCAAACUUCAGGCUUACAUAUCAGACCAGUUUGAGUCCUGGAUCUGCUACUCAGUAGCUCUGUGUCUGUGGGCCACUUUAUUUAACCGCACUAAGCCUCAGCUACCCCUUCUACAAAAUGGGAAUAGAACCUACCUUGCAAAGAUGUUUGAGGACGGGGAAUCAUGUAUAUAAAACUCAGAGCUCUAUGAUUUGCACAGAUUUGAACUUAAUAAAUGUUAGCUGUUUAGGAAUUUACAAGUGUAAGAAUUUUAUUUUUUUUAUUUCAUUUAACUUUUAUUUCUGUUCGUUUCUCUCUGCCUUUUUUGUUUCUCUCACUGCCUCAGAUGGCUUUGCAUUUGAUUUUCCUUACAUUUGGAAUUUUGUUCUCCAGACCUUUGCAUAGCUCACUUCUUCUCACCACUCAGGUUUCAGCUGAAAUGUACCAGUUAAGGAAGGCUUUGAGCCUAGAUGAGGGUACCCUUCUCCUAUCCGCUACCCACGGCACUUUCUCAUUGUAUGCUCAGUGGGUGGAUUUUUACAUUGUGAUCCAAUUUCUGGAAUAGUAAUAGACAUUUUCAGGUUUUCUACUUCUUCUACAAUCAAUUUUAUGUUUUGGUUUUAUAGAAAAUUGUCCAUUUUAUCCGUUUUCAAAUUUACUGUCAUAAAUUCAUUCUGUGACAUUAACUUCUUCUUAUUCUCUACGAUAUCAGUCUUGUACCCCUUUCACUUUCUAAUAUUCUUCGCACCUUCUCUCCAUUUUUGUUGAUCAUUCCUGCCAAGGUUUGUCUAUUUAACUAGGCCUUACAAUGACCCACUUUCUGAUAUGUUUGAAUUCUCUUUAUUAUAUCCUUGUUUUUACUUAUUUCUAUGGUUUAUUUCCUUUCUUUCUUCUUUCUGUCUUCUUCCCCUGACUUAUUAAGUUGUAUACUUAGGUCUUUAAUUAUUGAUGUUUCUCCAUUUAUUCUAUGAGCAUUUAAAACUGUCAACAUUCUUUGAAUCUCAAUCAUGGUGGCAUGUUUCUUAUAUGACUUUCAAUACGUUUGAGCUACUUGAGCAAGUAAAACCUGUUGGAAUUCAGAAGGCCCUCAGUUCAGACUCAGCAGAGGAUUUUCUUUGGCUUUGGCCAGGUGCCCAGGCACUGCCAGACUGGGACUACUGUGUUAAUUUCUCGGUUUAGGGUUUCCCAGCUCAUGCAGGUGUUAUAAAUUUAAACCUCAAACCCACACAAGGGCAGGGCUGUGGUGAUGAAUUCUCGAGAGAGACAAUUAUUUUUUUCUUCCUCCUAGAUUUAAAACAAAGAAACAGUUCUCUCGUCAUCUCCUUAAAGGCAGUUUCACUGAGAGGGUAGCACUUCAGGGCCCUGAAUUUAUGGGACUUUCCCCUUCUCACGCUUCUCCUUACACAGGCUCCAUCUUCUGCUCCAUCUUCGCCUCCUCUCCUGGGUGUUGCCAUUACAAUUCCAUAUUGGUAGAUGGCCUCAGCGAGAUUCAGUGUGAAGUAUUAUUCUAAAUAAUUGUUUAGUUUUUAUCUUUUGAUUUUUAGGAUUUUCCUUACUUUCUUGCUAGUUUGGCUGUGCAUUCAAAAAAACUCUCUAUUCUUUCUGAAUUGUAUGUUGGGAUAGUACAAAAGAGCUUAUUUUGAGACUAUUUAGUCUGCCAUCUUACCAGAAAUUGAAGUGACUCUCAUGACUCUUUAGCACAUCACUGUCUUUUAUCUCCUCUAUAGGCUCACUAAUGCCUGAAUUUAUUUUACUUAUUUAUGAGUUCAUUUUCUGUUCCUCUGUUGCCAAGUUAAAAGUAAAUAACCUGAUGACAGGGUCUCCAUUCUGUACACUGGUAUAGCCUCAGUAUCUAGAAAAGCUGUUGGCGUGAAGUAAGACUCAAUCAAAAUUUGUUGGUUGAACGACUGAUAAGUAAAUCAUGGAGUAUACAUAUGUGGACUAUAUCCUAUGCGAACUUUAAAAGUAACUAUUUAUAAAAUAUCUCUGACACAAUAAGGUAGAAAGUCAGGUUAUUUAAUAGCAUGUGUAACAUAACCUCUAUUAUAAAACACGUGUGUGCAUAUGUGUGUUUAUGUUUGUAUUUAAAACUAUCUGGAAGAAUAUGCACAGAAUAUUAACUGUUUAUCUCUGGUUAGUGAGACUUUUCAUAAUUUUUCUUUCAUCCUAAUACUUUAUACUGAACACAUAUUAGUAUUUUUUGUAAUAAUUAGAGGAGGGAAAAAACAUCUUAUAAAGGUCUGGGAUAUUUGCUACCUUAAUUUCAAGGUGCAUAUUACAAAUAAAGCUUCAUUUUAUCUUUCUUCCUAAGGACUCAGUCAUAAGUUACUUGUGUUUGUUUCUACUUUUCUUGGAAGUAAAAAUAAGCCAUUUUCAGGCUUCUUCUCUACUAUUAUUCUGCUCAGUAUAGGAUGGUUUUUUAAAAACAACACUAAUAUGUGUUAAUUUAUCACUACAGGCACCAGGAUUAUGCAAGGAUCAGCUAGAACCUCUAUUCUGGAUUUGAUACCUUUAGCAACUUUAGUUUUGUUACUUUGAUGUAAGGAAAGAGAGGACACCAAAAUACGUCCCACACUGGCCUGGGGAGAGGAAAGGAGUGUUAGAGAUCCUUUUUCUCCUCUACCACUACAGUUUUUGUCAGCAUAAAUUUGGACUAUGUUAUAUCUUUAUGCUAGGUGUCACCUAUUCUUGCUUAAGGAAUAGUCAGCAAGACUGUUAAUUAAUCCUCUUCCUUCUCAGCUGCCUGCCAUUUAUAUCAAUGAUAAUGUCAGGAGCUGAGGACACAAAGGUGAGUAACAAUCAGACCCUGCCCUUGCAUCCCACAGUGAUGUCAAAGAACAUAAUAAGGAUGUCGUGUCAUAAGUGUUAUGUAUGAAGUACUUUUGGAAUUCAGAAAAAGCUCUUGUUGGGUGAAGACGAAGCAAUCAUCUGCCUCCUGUAUAUUUUUCAGCCUUGUUCAUUACACUUGCCUCUUGUGCUCUAGCAACACUAUUUCUCAGUUUCCACAAACUACAGGCCAGGGUUUUUGCUCAUAUUCAUACUGUAUCCUCUACCUGGAGUUUCCCUUUUUUCAUUUUCCAGGCAAAUUCCCACUUAACCUUCACAACUUGCAUCAGGCACCAACUCCUUCAGGAAUCUUUCUUUUUUUUCUUUUCUUUUCUUUCUUUCUUUUCUUUCUCUUUCUUUCUUUCUUUCUUU
rnacentral:lncRNA from 1 species